rnacentral:rRNA from 1 species
UACGUAUGGGGCAAGCGUUAUCCGGAUUUACUGGGUGUAAAGGGAGCGCAGGCGGCCUGGCAAGCCUGAUGUGAAAUACCGGGGCCCAACCCCGGGGCUGCAUUGGGAACUGCCAGGCUGGAGUGCCGGAGAGGCAGGCGGAAUUCCUAGUGUAGCGGUGAAAUGCGUAGAUAUUAGGAGGAACACCAGUGGCGAAGGCGGCCUGCUGGACGGUAACUGACGCUGAGGCUCGAAAGCGUGGGGAGCAAACAGG